GGGGUGGGAUGAUGUAGCCAAAUUGAAGAUGAUCACUUUCGAGCAAAUGGAUGAGAUGAAGUUAACAGAGCACCAAAAGAAUGCAUUAGAAAUCAGAUCAUACCUACAUGGCCGCUCCUUGAUGGAAUAUGCCGAUAGGCUAGAAUCCUCUACGAAAUCCUUGACCGAACUUAUGAAUUUGAGCACACAAGUCUUGAUCUCCCAAUAUGACAUGAAGAGAGGCCACAUUAUUCGUUUUACUGAUAGAGCAAAUUCUAUGCGAUCAAUGUCUUCA
rnacentral:misc_RNA from 1 species